rnacentral:rRNA from 13 species
GUUGACCUCGAAUCAGGUAGGACUACCCGCUGAACUUAAGCAUAUCAAUAAGCGGAG